rnacentral:lncRNA from 10 species
CAGGGAGGCAGGGGGAGGCAGAAAGGGAGAAGCUGGGGUUGGGGGGCUGCCGGCUGUAGGUACAGGGAGGAGCUCUGUGCCCAGAGGCCCAUGGCGGUUCCCAGCCACAUGGCUUGUCCCCCCACCCCCAGGGUCUUCAAGGACCCCACUCACAAGGGCAGCCCUGCAAAGAGAAGCUAGAGAGAGGUUGUGACGGGAACGGAUGUGACGGGAGUAUCGGGACCCCCAGCUCGAGGGUGGAGGGUGGGGCAGUCCUGGGGGCAGGUUGGGGAAGAAGUCACAGACACCCCCACCUCCACCCCACGCACAGAGCGGUCCUCCUAAGGAGACUGCUAGCAGCGGGAGAGAAGCAUGGGCAGCCCCCAGCCCCGCCCUUCCUCUCACCUGCCCUCCUCUCCUACGCCCAGAGAAACCGGAGGCCAGAGCGCAGGAGCAGAGCCCGGGACCUGGGGCCGACAUACUUUCCUCUCCUCCCAGCGACUCUCGAGUCUGCAGGACCAAAACCUCCCAGCAGCCCCCUCGCCUCGGCAGGAAGAAGAGGGCUGAAGGCUGAAGCUGCAGAGGGGGAGUUGUGAUUUAGGUUGGACUAGACUCCUAGAUACCCCCACAAGCCUGCCCUGACACCUCCGAAGUGCCCCCAGGACCCACGGGCCCACCCAAGUUGCCCCACAGGGGUAGGGAGGGAGACUCAGCAGGGGUGAGGGGCGGGUGGGAGAAGAGCCCUUCGCUAGGGACACACUCCCCCCGCUCCGAGCCCUGCACGCAGCCCUGAUACACUUAGCCCGACUGUGAUUGAAAACCACGCUAAGAGUUCUGGAGCCCAUGCCCUGCCUGGCCGCCUGGCCUGGGUGGGCCAGGGGGAUCCCCAGAAGGCGCAUUUGAGCUGAGUCGGGACAGAGGAGGAUGGGCAGACCAGGGGGGUCCAGGGGAGCAGGAAGGUCCCAGGCCAAGUGGGCAGCCAGAGCCCCGAGGCUGAGCAUUUCCGCGCACAGGUUUCCCGAGGCUGAGCUUUCGCGCACACAGGUUUCCCGAGGCUGAGCUUUCGCGCGCACAGGUUUCCCGAGGCUGAGCAUUUCCGCGCACAGGUUUCCUGAGGCUGAGCAUUCGCGCCCACAGGUUUGUCCCUGCGUGCGUUGAUUCAUUCAACCGCUCACGGUGAGCGGGCUCUGGGCUGGCAGGUCCUGGCUGCGGGGCCUCUUCCCGUGGAGCUGACAGUCUAGGGAUGGGCACGAGGAGAGAGGAGCAAAGGGUCAAGGGGAGGGGCAAAGGCCCAAAGACAAAUAACAGGGGAGGAGGAGCCGUCCCUCUGCUCGCCCCCAGCUGGGGUGACCGCGUGGUUCAUCCCUAAAACCAGGACACCUAGGAUUUCUCCUGGCAGGGCACCAGGAAUCAUUAAAUUUAUAAAGGCUGGGAAUGCAUAUUUUAGUGACUCGCUGGGUGUAUGAAAAUGGUGGCUCCAUAAAAGACAGUCUGCCCUUGAACCACGAGGGGGUCGGGGCACCCACACUUCUUACAAUUGAAAAUCCAUAGAAAGCUUUUUUUUGUUUUUUUUCCGAUGGAUUCUCGCUCUGUCACCCAGGCUGGAGUGCAGUGAUGCGAUCAUCAGCUCACUGCAACCUCCACCUCCUGGGUUCAAGCGAUUCUCCUGCCUCAGCCUCUUGAGUAGCUGGGAUUACGGGCGCCUACCACCAGGCCCAGGUAAUUUUUGUAUUUUUAGUAGAGACGGAGUUUCCCAAAACAUUAACUGCUAAUAGCCUACUGUUGACAAGAAGUCUUACUGAUAACAGUCAAUUAACACAUAUUUUAUAUAUGUAUCUAUACUGUAUUCUUACAAUAAAGUAAGCUAGAGAAAAGAAUGUGAUUACGAAAAUCAUGCUGGGGAUGGUGGCUCAGGCCUGUAAUCCCAACACUUUAGGAGGCUGAGGCAGGCGGAUCACCUGAGAUCGGGAGUUCGAAACCAGCCUGACCAACACGGAGAAACCCCGUCUCUACUAAAAAUACAAAAAAUUAGCCGGGCGUGGUGGCACAUGCCGGUAAUCCCAGCUACUCGGGAGGCUGAGCCAGGAGAAUCACUUGAACCCGGGAGGCGGAGGUUGCGGUGAGCUGAGUUCACACCAUUGCAGUCCAGCCUGGGAGACGAGAGUGAAACUCCGUCUCAAUAAAAAAAUAAAAAGUAACAAAAAAGAAAAUCAUAAGGAAGAGAAAAUUUAUUUACUUAUUCAUUAAAUG